rnacentral:tRNA from 1 species
GAGGAUGUAGUUCAGUGGUAGAGAGCACUUGCCUAGCAUGCAUGAGGCCCUGUGUUGAAUCCCCAGCACCACA